rnacentral:rRNA from 1 species
GAUGAACGCUGGCGGCGUGCCUAAUACAUGCAAGUCGAGCGAACAGACGAGGAGCUUGCUCCUCUGACGUUAGCGGCGGACGGGUGAAUAACACGUGUAUAACCUACCUAUCAGACUGGUAUAACUUCGGGAAACCGGAGCUAAUACCGGAUAAUAUAUUGAACCGCAUGGUUCAAUAGUGAAAGACGGUUUUGCUGUCACUUCUAGAUGGAUCCGCGCCGCAUUAGCUAGUUGGUAAGGUAACGGCUUACCAAGGCGACGAUGCGUAGCCGACCUGAGAGGCGGAUCGGCGACACUGGAACGUGGACAGGGUCCAGAGGCCUACGGGAGGCCGCAGUAGGGAAUCGUCGGCAAUGGGGGAAAGCCUGACGGAGCAACGCCGAGCGAGUGAUGAAGGUCUUCGGAUCGUAAAACUCUGUUAUGAGGGAAGAACAAAUGUGUAAGUAACCAUGCACGUCGUGACGGUAACGAAUCAGAAAGCCACGGCUAACUACGUG